rnacentral:rRNA from 1 species
GGGGAAUAUUGGACAAUGGGCGAAAGCCUGAUCCAGCCAUGCCGCGUGUGUGAAGAAGGUCUUCGUAUUGUAAAGCACUUUAAGUUGGGAGGAAGGGUUUCUGGCUAAUAUCCAGGAAUUUUGACGUUACCGACAGAAUAAGCACCGGCUAACUUCGUGCCAGCAGCCGCGGUAAUACGAAGGGUGCAAGCGUUAAUCGGAAUUACUGGGCGUAAAGCGCGGUAGGUGGUUUGUUAAGUUGGAUGUGAAGGCCCCGGGCUCAACCUGGGAACUGCGACCAAAACGGGCGAGCUGGAGUAUGGCAGAGGGUGGUGGAAGUGCCGGUGUAGCGGUGAAAUGCGUAGAUAAAGGAAGGAACACAAGUGGCGAAGGCGACCACCUGGGCUAAUACUGACACUGAGGUGCGAAAGCGUGGGGAGCAAACA